GCCGGUGUAGCUCAGCAGGCCAGAGCAGCCGCCUUGUAAGCGGCAGGUCGUCGGUUCGAACCCGUCCACCGGCUCCA
rnacentral:tRNA from 1 species